rnacentral:rRNA from 1 species
CAUUAAUUAAUCAUUUAAUAUAACUUAGUUUUAUAACUAAAUUAGUUUGGCAGUGAGUUACUCCUAUCAGGGGAAGGUGUGUUAUAAAGGACGAUCCGCCUAUUAAUUUACCUUGGUUAUGUUGGUGUAUAUCUGGUUUAAUAUUAUUGCUUAGUUGCUUGAAUUUGUGUAUUAACUUUUAAGCUAAGUCUAUGUGCUGCAUGCCAAGGUUUUCAUGCGUUACAUUAAUAAGGUUUACUUUGUAAUUAGGUAAUAUUUAGGACUUGAUAGUAAUACUAAAUUAGUUUGUUGGUGUGAAAUUGGUUUAGCUCAGGUACACACCGCCCGUCACCCUCGAUUAUUUUGAG